ACAUGACAGCUAUGAGCCAAACUUGGGACGUUUGGUUUUUAGCAGGUGGAGAGACCGUCUGGGCAGCAGAAACAA